rnacentral:rRNA from 1 species
CCCUUAGAUGUUCGGGGCCGCACGCGCGCUACACUGAAUGAAUCAGCGAGUGUAUGUCCUAGGCCGAAAGGUCCGGGUAACCCGUUGAACCUCAUUCGUGAUUGGGAUAGGGACUUGCAAUUGUUUCCCUUGAACGAGGAAUUCCCAGUAAGCGCAAGUCAUCAGCUUGCGUUGAUUACGUCCCUGCCCUUUGUACACACCGCCCGUCGCUCCUACCGAUUGGAUGAUCCGGUGAGCUAUUCGGACUUUCGCAUUGUCGAUUUUCGGCUUUACGAGGGAAAGUCUCGCGAACCUUAUCAUCUAGAGGAAGGAGAAGUCGUAACA